rnacentral:rRNA from 1 species
GUAGGCCUUCAAGUGAAUGUUGACUACCCCCUAAAUUUAAGCAU